ensembl:lncRNA
UCUAUCUGGUGUGUGUGUGUGUGUGUCUAGUGUGUGUGUGUGUCUGUCUAGGUGUGUGUGUGUGUGUGUGUGUGUGUGUCUGUCUAGGUGUGUGUGUGUGUGUGUGUGUCUGUCUAGGUGUGUGUGUGUGUGUCUGUCUAGGUGUGUGUGUGUGUCUGUCUGUCUAGGUGUGUGUGUGUGUGUGUGUGUGUCUAGGUGUGUGUGUGUCUGUCUGUCUGUCUGUCUAGGUGUGUGUGUCUGUCUAGGUGUGUGUGUCUGUCUGUCUAGGUGUGUGUGUGUGUGUGUGUGUGUCUGUCUAGGUGUGUGUGUCUGUCUGUCUGUCUAGGUGUGUGUGUGUGUGUCUAGGUGUGUGUGUCUGUCUGUCUGUCUGUCUGUCUGUGUGUGUGUGUGUGUCUGUCUAGGUGUGUGUGUCUGUCUGUCUGUCUGUCUAGGUGUGUGUGUGUGUGUGUCUGUCUAGGUGUGUGUGUGUGUGUGUGUGUGUGUGUGUGUGUGUCUGUCUAGGUGUGUGUGUGUCUGUCUAGGUGUGUGUGUCUGUCUAGGUGUGUGUGUGUGUCUCUGUCUAGGUGUGUGUGUGUCUGUCUAGGUGUGUGUGUGUGUGUGUGUGUGUCUGUCUAGGUGUGUGUGUGUGUGUGUGUCUGUCUAGGUGUGUGUGUGUGUGUGUCUGUCUAGGUGUGUGUGUGUGUGUCUGUCUAGGUGUGUGUGUGUGUGUCUGUCUAGGUGUGUGUGUGUGUGUCUGUGUGUGUCUGUGUGUGUGUGUGUGUGUGUGUGUCUGUCUAGGUGUGUCUGUGUCUGUCUGUCUAGGUGUGUGUCUGUCUGUCUGUCUGUCUGUCUAGGUGUGUGUGUGUGUCUGUCUGUCUGUCUGUCUGUCUAGGUGUGUGUGUGUGUCUGUAUACUGAUUUUCAGAUUGUCUAAGCAAGG